rnacentral:rRNA from 1 species
GUAACGGCCCACCAAGGCGACAACGGGUAGCUGGUCUGAGAGGAUGGUCAGCCACACUGGAACUGAGACACGGUCCAGACACCUACGGGUGGCAGCAGUCGAGAAUCAUUCGCAAUGGGGGAAACCCUGACGAUGCGACGCCGCGUGGAGGAUGAAGGCCUUAGGGUUGUAAACUCCUGUCAAGAGGGAAUAAGCAAGUGAAGGUACCUCUAGAGGAAGGGGCGGCUAAUUCCGUGCCAGCAGCCGCGGUAACACGGAAGCCCCGAGCGUUGUUCGGAUUCAUUGGGCGUAAAGGGUGCGUAGGCGGCGCGGAAAGUCCGGCGUGAAAGGCAGAGGCUCAACCUCUGGACUGCGUUGGAUACUUCCGUGCUUGAGGACUGGAGGGGAGACUGGAAUUCACGGUGUAGCAGUGAAAUGCGUAGAUAUCGUGAGGAAGACCGGUGGCGAAGGCGAGUCUCUGGACAGAUCCUGACGCUGAGGCACGAAGGCUGGGGGAGCGAACAGGAUUAGAUACCCUGGUAGUCCCAGCAGUAAACGAUGUGAGCUUGAUGUGGGGGGAUUCGACCCCUUCCGUGUCGAAGCUAACGCGAUAAGCUCACCGCCUGAGGAGUACGGCCGCAAGGCUAAAACUCAAAGAAAUUGACGGGGACCCGCACAAGCGGUGGAGUAUGUGGCUUAAUUCGAUGCAACGCGAAGAACCUUACCUGGCCUUGACAUGCAUUGUGUCGUCGGUGAAAGCCGGCUAGUCCUGGAAACAGGACGCUUUGCACAGGUGCUGCAUGGCUGUCGUCAGCUCGUGUCGUGAGAUGUUGGGUUAAGUCCCGCAACGAGCGCAACCCUUGUGGUCAGUUACUAACCGGCUUAGCCGGAGGACUCUGGCCAGACUGCCCUGUCAAACGGGGAGGAAGGUGGGGACGACGUCAAGUCAGUAUGGCCCUUAUGGCCAGGGCUGCACACGUACUACAAUGCCCGGUACAAUGUGAACCGAAACCGCGAGGUGGAGGAAAUCGCUCUUGAAAACCGGGCCCAGUUCGGAUUGGAGUCUGCAACUCGACUCCAUGAAGUCGGAAUCGCUAGUAAUGGCGUAUC